UAUCUAAUACCCAUCUUUCAUUUAAGUUCGUCAAACUCUUUGAUUCCAAGGAUUUUAGUAAAUAAAUCGAUCAAGUUCUUCUUUUCAUCGAUCUUCUGAAGAUCGAUAUCACCUUAAUCCACGAUCUCUCGUGUAAGAUGAUAGCAUUGUAGAGUGUGAUUGGUUCUCUAAUGGGACUACUAUUCAUUCGCUCGAGCUGUGGCUCCAAUACCGUCACAACACAGC
rnacentral:lncRNA from 1 species